GGCUAUGAUGGUGCAACUGCGGAUAUUUGGUCUUGUGGAGUAAUCCUCUUUGUCCUUCUUGCUGGCUAUUUACCUUUCGAGGAUGAAAACAUCAUUGCCCUAUACAAAAAGGUAACAUCAAUGAAUAAGAGGCAACAAAAAUAGAACGAAGAUGCUCUUGUUGCUUAUUAUGUCUUAAUACUCCCUUUCUUGCAAUUACAGAUCUCUAAAGCUCAGUUUACCUGCCCCUCUUGGUUUUCGGCGGGAGCUAAGAACCUGAUUACCAGAAUUCUCGAUCCCAAUCCUACAACUGUAAGGAUCAUAUAACUCUUUAGCAUAGACGCAUAGUUGUUGAAACGGAUCAUAAUCAGCUAAUGAUUUAUGAAACUAUAAGAAUGAAGCUCAAGUGGCAAUAUCAAAUAUACAGCUACUGUGCCGUAUGAUGUGCACGGACCUUUAGCACUAAGAAUGUUAUUCCUGCCCUCCUUUGGAUCUUUGAACAGUUUUGUUUACUGAGUCUUGUCAUCAAUAUUCAAUUGCGGAGAAGUAUUUCUUGAAUCUCAACUUACGUGCCUUUUUGUUGUUUUUGGAUUUUUACCAGCGG
rnacentral:lncRNA from 1 species